AACCUGCGGAAGUCAUUA
rnacentral:rRNA from 1 species